rnacentral:rRNA from 1 species
AUUGAACGCUGGCGGCAUGCCUUACACAUGCAAGUCGAACGGCAGCACGGGAGCAAUCCUGGUGGCGAGUGGCGAACGGGUGAGUAAUAUAUCGGAACGUGCCCGGUCGUGGGGAUAACGUAGCGAAAGCUACGCUAAUACCGCAUACGAUCUACGGAUGAAAGCGGGGGAUCGCAAGACCUCGCGCGAUUGGAGCGGCCGAUAUCAGAUUAGGUAGUUGGUGAGGUAAAGGCUCACCAAGCCGACGAUCUGUAGCUGGUCUGAGAGGACGACCAGCCACACUGGGACUAAGACACGGCCCAGACUCCUACGGGAGGCAGCAGUGGGGAAUUUUGGACAAUGGGCGCAAGCCUGAUCCAGCAAUGCCGCGUGCAGGAUGAAGCCUUCGGGUU